UACGUAGGGGGCAAGCGUUGUCCGGAUUUAUUGGGCGUAAAGAGCUCGUAGGUGGUUCGGUAAGUCGGAUGUGAAAUCUCCAGGCUCAACCUGGAGGGGUCAUUCGAUACUGCCGUGACUAGAGUUCGGUAGGGGAGUGUGGAAUUCCUGGUGGAGCGGUGAAAUGCGCAGAUAUCAGGAGGAACACCAAUUGCGAAGGCAGCUCGCUGGGACGUAACUGACGCUGAGACGCGAAAGCGUGGGGAGCAAACAGG
rnacentral:rRNA from 1 species